rnacentral:tRNA from 1 species
GUGGCUGUGACUCAGAGGUAGAGUGCUCGCCUAGCAUGUGUGAGGCCCUGGGUUCAAUCCUCAGCACCACA